rnacentral:lncRNA from 1 species
CUGGGAGAAUUUAAUGGUGCAUCUCUCCACGCCCUUCUGACCAGAAGGCUCUUCCGUGCAGGCACAGAGCAGUGGGGUACUUAAUCCACCCAGGUGUCCGUUAAGUGUUUGUCGAAUGAAUGAGCAGAUGUGUGUUUCCUAACCAAGCCUACGGUUUAUGAAUAGGUAGAUGUACCUGCGGAAUAGACCAAUGGAGCUGGAGUCACCUGCCACCAAUUUGGGACAUCGUGCUAUGAAGCAUUCGAAAACGAACGAGGAAGCAGUACAAGCGUGAUAGACACCUUGCACUGGUCCUGUCAGCUUUGUGUUUCGCUGGAGAGCAACAGGCAGAUUCAAGGACCCGCCCACCUCUGGUGAAAAGGCAGGGAAGCCUUGCUUUCUGAGGCCUCCAGGCUGUCAUUCUUCAGGCACACCCUCUUCUAACAAAGCACUGGGAGGGCUCAGAAGAAAAAGGUUUACUGGAGUCAUCAGGAGGCUGCCGCAGAAAUCAGGAGAUGGCGAGCUAGAGAGUUUUAUUUUAUC